AGGCACGACUUUUCUAUGUUGUAAUAGUUCAACUCAAUGAAUUUAUUUAAUUACUUCCAGCUGAAACAGGAAAAGAAACUUUGCCUGUGGAUGUAAGUCCUUUUGAUUCCAUUUUGAGCGAAUGUGGCUCAAGUAGAAUGACCCGCAGCAGUGGAGUGGCAAAAAAUGUGAACAAGGAAAGUGAUGUUAAAAUCAAUAUCAGUGAAGAAACUUUCACCAUUCCCACUCGCAGUAGUAGGGCAGCUUCAAAGGCUGCUGCCAGCAAGAUCACUCUCAGUUAAAUUUAUCUCUAACCAAAAAACUGAGGAGACCAUCAUCUGAAGGAAGAACGGAGGCAUCCAUGGAAUUCAUUCCCCCUGUGUCUUCCACCGUGUUAGCAUGUAAGAAUGAUGGACCACUUCUCAAUGGAAGGUACGUAUUUGACUGAGCGGAAAACAGUUACUUUGUUAAUUUUAUCUUUUGUAAGUUUGACCCAAACAUUUUUUUGCCUCUUUAUGCUGAAGCU
rnacentral:lncRNA from 1 species